GUCAAAAUAUGUCGAAUGCGUAAUGUUAGAAAUGUCAUGUAAUAAGAUCAUUGCUACAUAUGAGGAUAAUGUGUGAAUAUGUCACUGCAUUUCAUGACAUUACAACCCGUUUACAUAUCAGACUGAAGUCACGGAGCCAAUAACUAUUGAUUAAAGUGUUUUUCAUGAAGUAGAUUAACCUUUGGCAUGAAUUUUCACUUUCUUUCUGACUGUGAGAUGAGGUGGACAUCCCCGUCGUCCACUACAGUCAGGCUGUGGUUAGCCUAGCUUAGCAUAGAGACGGGAAGCAGGGUGGAGACACUCCAAAAUGUUGUUUCUUUUUUCUGCACCUGAUACAAGAUGCAGCAGGUUAAAAUACGCGUUGGGGUGUCAGUAGUCAGAGCAGCAGUGGUCUCGGGGAAAAGAACGGGUCAUCCUUUCGACGCAGUGCUCCUAAACGCUGAAGAUAAGCUCACCCUUGUGUGGUGUCAUUUUUCAUCAAAACAAGUAUAGCAUGAUUCGUAUUUUUGAUGAUGAUUCGUAAGUCAGACUUUUUGGGCUCGGCUGAUUAUCUACGAAUAACAAACGUCAGAGCACAUCGACCGUCCACCGUGACCCCUGACCCCUCCCCACACGUUUAUAUCACAUGCCUGGUAAACCAGUGGGACUUGUAGGUCCUGUUUACCUUCCGAAGUCUACAGUGAAAAACCAAGGCAGGAGAGUUGUCGUGGACACAACACAACAUCACAUGCGACAACUGUUUUAUAUUCUACAAGCUGGCACAGGAGCUCCUGAAGGGGAGGCUGACCGUGUGGGAACCAUGAGGAGAAACAGCCCUGCGCUCCCCAAUAUUAACCAUAUUUGCUGUUUAUAGUGCCUCAAAUUGGGGAGAAGUAACAUCUGUUGACUAUUUUAACAUUAGAUUGUUUCAUUUUGUUGAAUUAAAACCCCCAAAAUACAGCUGACCCCCAACUGAGGCUGAGUAACAACACAGUGAGCACCAUACAGGGGUCACGUGCUGGGGUCAAACAGCAUGAGUUCCUCUGGAGGCCUCUAGAGGGCGUAGGGGCCACCGGGUAGAGACAGAGGCUCAGUCACACUGACUUCACAGAGGAUAAAGUCCUGGUUGGUUAACAAAAAUAACAAUUGUCUAAAUAAUGAAGAGUUUUAUUGGAUAAAUAAAAUAAAAGCACUUUACCGCAAAGUGUCAUUGAAUCAA
ensembl:lncRNA